rnacentral:rRNA from 1 species
GAUGAACGCUAGCGGCAGGCUUAAUACAUGCAAGUCGUGGGGCAGCAGGACUGUAGCAAUACAGUUGCUGGCGACCGGCAAACGGGUGCGGAACACGUACGCAAUCUACCCAGAACUGGUGAAUAGCCCUCCGAAAGGAGGAUUAAUACACCGUAAUAUUAUAAAGUGGCAUCACUUAAUAAUCAAAGCUCCGGCGGUUUUGGAUUAGCGUGCGGCCCAUUAGGUAGUUGGUUGAGGUAAUGGCUCACCAAGCCUGCGAUGGGUAACUGGUGUGAGAGCACGACCAGUCACACGGGCACUGAGACACGGGCCCGACUCCUACGGGAGGCAGCAGUAAGGAAUAUUGGUCAAUGGACGCAAGUCUGAACCAGCCAUGCCGCGUGGAGGAUGAAGGCCCUCUGGGUUGUAAACUUCUUUUAUGGGGGACGAAAUCACUUAUUCUUAAGUGUCUGACGGUACCCCAGGAAUAAGCACCGGCUAACUCCGUGCCAGCCGCCGCGGUAA